rnacentral:rRNA from 1 species
GAACGCUGGCGGCGUGCCUAAUACAUGCAAGUCGAACGCUUCUUUCCUCCCGAGUGCUUGCACUCGAUUGGAAAGAGGAGUGGGGGACGGGUGAGUAACACGUGGGUAACCUACCCAUCAGAGGGGGAUAACACUUGGAAACAGGUGCUAAUACCGCAUAACAGUUUAUGCCGCAUGGCAUAAGAGUGAAAGGCGCUUUCGGGUGUCGCUGAUGGAUGGACCCGCGGUGCAUUAGCUAGUUGGUGAGGUAACGGCUCACCAAGGCCACGAUGCAUAGCCGACCUGAGAGGGUGAUCGGCCACACUGGCACUGAUCACACGGCCCAGACUCCUACGGGAGGCAGCAGUAGGGAAUCUUCGGCAAUGGACGAAAGUCUGACCGAGCAACGCCGCGUGAGUGAAGAAGGUUUUCGGAUCGUAAAACUCUGUUGUAAGAGAAGAACAAGGACGUUAGUAACUGAACGUCCCCUGACGGUAUCUAACCAAAAAGCCACGGCUAACUACGUGCCAGCAGCCGCGGUAAUACGUAUGUGGCAAGCGUUGUCCGGAUUUAUUGGUCGUAAAGCGAGCGCAGGCGGUUUCUUAAGUCUGAUGUGAAAGCCCCCGGCUCAACCGGAGAGGGUCAUUGGAAAACUGGCAGACUUGAGUGCAGAAGAGGAGAGUGGAAUUCCAUGUGUAGCGGUGAAAUGCGUAGAUAUAUGGAGGAACACCAGUGGCGAAGGGCGGCUCUCUGGUCUGUAACUGACGCUGAGGCUCGAAAGCGUGGGGAGCAAACAGGAUUAGAUACCCUGGUAGUCCACGCCGUAAACGAUGAGUGCUAAGUGUUGGAGGGUUUCCGCCCUUCAGUGCUGCAGCAAACGCAUUAAGCACUCCGCCUGGGGAGUACGACCGCAAGGUUGAAACUCAAAGGAAUUGACGGGGGCCCGCACAAGCGGUGGAGCAUGUGGUUUAAUUCGAAGCAACGCGAAGAACCUUACCAGGUCUUGACAUCCUUUGACCACUCUAGAGAUAGAGCUUUCCCUUCGGGGACAAAGUGACAGGUGGUGCAUGGUUGUCGUCAGCUCGUGUCGUGAGAUGUUGGGUUAAGUCCCGCAACGAGCGCAACCCUUAUUGUUAGUUGCCAUCAUUUAGUUGGGCACUCUAGCGAGACUGCCGGUGACAAACCGGAGGAAGGUGGGGAUGACGUCAAAUCAUCAUGCCCCUUAUGACCUGGGCUACACACGUGCUACAAUGGGAAGUACAACGAGUCGCUAGACCGCGAGGUCAUGCAAAUCUCUUAAAGCUUCUCUCAGUUCGGAUUGCAGGCUGCAACUCGCCUGCAUGAAGCCGGAAUCGCUAGUAAUCGCGGAUCAGCACGCCGCGGUGAAUACGUUCCCGGGCCUUGUACACACCGCCCGUCACACCACGAGAGUUUGUAACACCCGAAGUCGGUGAGGUAACCUUUUUGGAGCCAGCCGCCUAAGGUGGGAUAGAUGAUUGGGGUGAAG